rnacentral:lncRNA from 1 species
CCCAUUGGCUGAAAUUAUUAUGUAAGAGAAAAGUAGACAGACUCACCGAGUAUUUUGUGAAGGCUUACUGAAGGAUUCAACAGCGAUAUAUUUCGGAGGUUUCUGCACCUAAGGAGGAAUUUUAUUCACCUCCAGUGACCUAUCUAGCUGGAGCACCUACGGGGUAUCUAUAUCCUGAAUGUGCAGACGAUGG